UCUAUGGAGAGUUUGAUCCUGGCUCAGAGCGAACGUUAGCGGCGGGCUUAAGACAUGCAAGUCGAGCGAGAAAAGGGCUUCGGCCCUGAGUAAAGCGGCGGACGGGUGAGUAAUACGUAGGUAAUCUUCCCUUGAGCGGGGGACAACGGUCCGAAAGGACCGCUAAUACCGCAUAAGUUCCUGGGGACUCUGGUCCUUGGGAGGAAAGCUAGGUAGCAAUAUCCGGCACUCGAGGAGGGGCCUGCGUCGCAUCAGCUAGUUGGUGGGGUAACGGCCUACCAAGGCGAAGACGCGUAGCUGGUCUGAGAGGAUGAUCAGCCACACUGGGACUGAGACACGGCCCAGACUCCUACGGGAGGCAGCAGU
rnacentral:rRNA from 1 species